GGAGAGGUGCGAGAGUGGUUGAAUCGGACGGUCUCGAAAACCGUUGUCCCUAUAAACGGGACCGUGGGUUCGAAUCCCACCCUCUCCG
rnacentral:tRNA from 1 species